rnacentral:rRNA from 1 species
GGCGGACGGGUGAGUAAUGUCUGGGAAACUGCCCGAUGGAGGGGGAUAACUACUGGAAACGGUAGCUAAUACCGCAUAACGUCGCAAGACCAAAGAGGGGGACCUUCGGGCCUCUUGCCAUCGGAUGUGCCCAGAUGGGAUUAGCUAGUAGGUGGGGUAAAGGCUCACCUAGGCGACGAUCCCUAGCUGGUCUGAGAGGAUGACCAGCCACACUGGAACUGAGACACGGUCCAG